UUUUUUCAUAUCGCCAAACCUGUGCAUGCUGCUGCUUCGUAUAUGCGUGCUGCUUCACUCUCUCUCACUGAAUCCCCAAAUAGCCUUUUUCAUAUCCUCAAACCCAUAGUUACUUUGUGCGUAUUGCUUCUCUCUCUCACUCAAUUCCCAAACAAGUUUUUCCAUUUUCCCAAACCUAUAGUUCCUCUGUGUGUGCUGCUCCUUCUGUGCAUGAUGCUUCUCUAUCUGUAUGUACUACUCCGGUUCUCUCUGAAGUAAUGGAUCACCACUUCACCAUACCAUAGUUAUGGUCUCUUCAUAUGCUUCAACACAC
rnacentral:lncRNA from 1 species